rnacentral:sRNA from 1 species
GCUGGGCACUGUGGUGCAUGCUUGUAAUCCCAACAACUUAGGAAGCUGAGGCAGGAGGAUCACAAGUUUAAGGCCAGCCUGGGCAACUUUUGAGACCUUGUCUCAA